rnacentral:rRNA from 1 species
AAACUGAAGAGUUUGAUCCUGGCUCAGAUUGAACGCUGGCGGUAUGCUUAACACAUGCAAGUCGAACGGCAGCACGGAGAGUUUACUCUUUGGUGGCGAGUGGCGGACGGGUGAGUAAUGCAUAGGAAUCUACCUUUUAGUCUAGGAUAACUACCCGAAAGGGUAGCUAAUACUGGAUGUGGACUACGGUUUAAAGCAGGGGAUCUUCGGACCUUGCGCUAAGAGAUGAGCCUAUGUGGGAUUAGCUAGUUGGUGAGGUAAUGGCUCACCAAGGCGACGAUCUCUAGCUGGUUUGAGAGGAUGAUCAGCCACACUGGGACUG